CCACUGCACAAGGUGCAGGUGAGACUGGCUGAUGCUCCAGGAGAUGCAGAGAGGGAAGACGGCUGAGUCAGCACAGCCUGCGAGAGGGAACCUGGAAACACAGACAUUAAUGGGUGCUAAGGCAGAAACCAGGGUAAAGUUUUUCAGGGAUCUUUGCCAGAAGAGUCAGAAUCAGGCUGGGUGGCUGACCCUGGUCUCUGAAGUCUAUUCCUACCUGUGCAGUGAGAGAGGAACAGGAGGAGGAGAGGAGUCCAGGCCAUGGUGGACACAACCUCUUACCCCCGCAGUGGGACUGGGCUGCCCCAGGCCUCCUUUUCUUCCCACUGUUGCAGAGGAGGGGUUGCUCAUGCAAAUGUGUUUCCACCCAGGGACUGCCGGGCCCCUCCUUGAGACCUGGGGAUGCAGCUCAGCUCUCUCUGCAGACUGAGCAGGAGGAAGGUUUGCUUUUCUUUUUGCAAGGCCCUGGGAGGAAGCACCUGUUGAGACCAUACACAGGUCCCUGCUCAGGGAACUCUGCCAGGCCAGAGGGGACACAGCUGCCGAGUGUCCAUCAGUGAGCACAGGGCCCAGCCUCAAGGCCUGGAUUUCUCUGAGUGAAUGCUCAUUACUGAGCAGCUGUGUCGGAACCACAGGGCAGCCCCACAACAUCUGACGCUGGUCCCAGGAAACACACUUUCCCAAAGCUCAGAGACUUCAGAACCCAGCUGGUCUCUGCAGCUCUUUAGUCACUGUCUGUAUUCACAUAUCCAUGGUCUGAUUCCCAGACACUGCUUCUAUCAUGCUAUGCAUUAUUACUACGAUUUCUCACUCCCAGAAGUAGUCUUGGUCUGUGGGAUGUGCAGACCUGUACAUACAUAACUUUUAUAGGUGUCAGCACCCCAACAGGGCAUUUUAGAAAAAUCUAUUUGCCCACAUAUGUCAUCAGAGUGGGCAUCAUGGAAAAGGGGUCAGCUGAGGAGCUGGGUUGAAGGGCAGCUGGGGUUGUUCAAAAAGAUGGUGAAUAAUGAAAAAUUUCCAGGAAAAAUAAAGGAUCAAUGACAUGUUAAAGGCAGCAAUUCCUUUGGGAAGCCAAGGCGGGCGGAUCACGAGGUCAGUAGAUCAAGACCAUCCUGGCUAACGCGGUGAAACCCCGUCUCUACUAAAAAUACAACAUAUUAGCUGGGCGUGGUGGCAGGCGCCUGUAGUCCCAGCUACUCGGGAGGCUGAUGCAGGAGAAUGGCGUGAACCCGGGAACCCGGGAGGUGGAGCUUGCAGUGAGCUGAUAUUGGGCCACUGCACCCCAGCCUGGGCGACAAAGCGAGAUUCUGUCUAAAAAAAAAAAAAAAAAAAAAAAAGACAGCAAUGCAACACAAGUUAUAUUUACAAUGGUUUCAUACGUUUUAAAGAGAUUUGAUUCGAUUUUGUGAUACAGGAAAACUAAUAGAUUUGCUAGACUUACCUUUACCAGUGAACAGUGUGACAUAUUUCACUAUUUUAUGAAAUUAGCCAUUAUCUCCCUAAGUAAAACGUCAUUUUCUGCACAGUUGCAUCAUAUUUUUUGGUCAAGAAUUUGUUCUAGCUGUUAUACAAAUUGCAUUGUGCUAUUACCACGUGUAUUUUUUUACUAGGUGUUUUCAGUUUAUUAGAAAGAUCAGUAUGUAUUUUACCUGCAAAAUUCUCUUGCAAAUGAGUUGGAUGUCUCAGGAGACAAAAGCAGAGACCAUCACUUCUCAAUUUAGCCACAUCUACUCUUGUGCUAACUGUGCAAAUGGCCCCUGAGUUUCUAGACUCACGAGGUGCUUUAGCGAAUAAUCUAGAAUCAGGAUCACUCACUUUUCUCAGACACUCUCUUCUCAAGGCAUUCAGAGAGAUCCCUGUCACUCAGAUAGGGCAGGCAGGGCACUCCCUGGUUUAAGCCCCUUGAGUAACUCCUCAUUGUUAUUAUGAAACCUGAACCCUGAGACCUCAGCAACAUGCCCUUCACAUUGUGGCCCCAGAACUCCCCCACAGCCCAACUCACAGCCCCUGCCCUUGCUUUUAGGGCUCCAGGCUCACUCACUUCUCUGUCCUGGGAAACCCUGAGCUCCUGUGUUUUCCAUGUUCUCCACACCAGCUUCUCCUCUGCCUGUUGGGAGAAGAUGGGCUUCCACUUGAAGUCAAAGUGUAAGCUUACAUUUUGUCCACAUGGUACACCUGGUAAAAGCAGAACAUAAACAUCUCAUUGCAAAAAAGGAUAUUUUCACUGGUUAGCAUGGAAACGUUUGAGUCAUACAAAUAUACAGAGAAUUUUCUGAUGAAUUGUUUGCACCAAUCAGCCAACUUUGACCAUCAUCAAUGUGGUUCAUCUUGUUUAAUUUUUCAACCCAUUUUACCCAUCAACUUACUCCCUUUCUAGGUGAUUUUUAGAACAGAUCAAGGAAGCAGUAUUUUAUCAUUGCAGGGCCAUCACCUUCUCUCCACUUUCUCCACAUAAGCCCAUGGGAUCCAGCAUGUAUGGAUCCAUGGGAAUCAGACCAUAAAUGAGUGAACAGAGGCUGUGAUUAGGAGCUGCAGAGAGCAGCUAGGCACUCAAGACUCUGGGCCAUGGGGAGCUUAGAAGAAUAUAUGUGACCACUUUCUCU
rnacentral:lncRNA from 10 species